rnacentral:sRNA from 1 species
GAUCAUUACUGAACUGUCGACACGAGUUGUUGCUGGUCCUCAAAUGGGGGCAUGUGCACACUCUGUUUACACACCCACUCACACCUGUGCACCCUCUGUAGUUCUGUGGCGUUGNGGACCCUGUCCUCCCGCCGUGGUUCUAUGUCUUUACACACACUCGGUGAUAAAGUCUUAUGGAAUGUAUCUAGCGUUUAACGCAAUAAAAUACAACUUUCAGCAACGGAUCUCUUGGCUCUCGCAUCGAUGAAGAACGCAGCGAAAUGCGAUAAGUAAUGUGAAUUGCAGAAUUCAGUGAAUCAUCGAAUCUUUGAACGCACCUUGCGCCCUUUGGCUAUUCCGAAGGGCAUGCCUGUUUGAGUAUCAUGAACACCUCAACUCUCAUGGUUUGCCAUGAUGAGCUUGGACUUUGGGGGCUUGCUGGCCUAUGGUCGGCUCCUCUCAAAUGAAUCAGCUUGCCAGUGUUUGGUGGGAUCACAGGUGUGAUAACUAUCUACGCUUGUGGCCUUCCGCCAAGUAACCUUCAGCGAUGGAGGUUCGCUGGAGCUCAUAAACGUCUCUCCUCAGCGAGGACAGCUCUUUUGAACGUUUGAUCUCAAAUCAGGUAGGACUACCCGCUGAACUUAAGCAUAUCAAUAAGCG